UACGGAGGGAGCUAGCGUUGUUCGGAAUUACUGGGCGUAAAGCGCGCGUAGGCGGCUUUGUAAGUUAGAGGUGAAAGCCCGGGGCUCAACCCCGGAACUGCCUUUAAGACUGCAUCGCUUGAAUCCGGGAGAGGUGAGUGGAAUUCCGAGUGUAGAGGUGAAAUUCGUAGAUAUUCGGAAGAACACCAGUGGCGAAGGCGGCUCACUGGACCGGCAUUGACGCUGAGGUGCGAAAGCGUGGGGGAGCAAACAGG
rnacentral:rRNA from 1 species